CACCGCGGUUAUACGAGAGACCCAAGUUGACAGACAACGGCGUAAAGAGUGGUUAAGAUGCUAAUAAACUAAAGCCGAACGCCCUCAAAGCUGUUAUACGUUUUUGAGUGUAUGAAGUUCUACCACGAAAGUGGCUUUACCACCCCUGACCCCACGAAAGCUGUGAAA
rnacentral:rRNA from 1 species